GAUCNGGCUCAGGAUGAACGCUAGCUACAGGCUUAACACAUGCAAGUCGAGGGGAAACGACAUCGAAAGCUUGCUUUUGAUGGGCGUCGACCGGCGCACGGGUGAGUAACGCGUAUCCAACCUGCCCAUCACUUGGGAAUAACCUUGCGAAAGUAAGACUAAUGCCCAAUGAUAUCCCACGAAGGCAUCCGAAUGGGAUUAAAGAUUUAUCGGUGAUGGAUGGGGAUGCGU
rnacentral:rRNA from 1 species